rnacentral:tRNA from 1 species
GUCUCUGAUAGCUCAACUGAUAGAGCCUUCGGCGCUUUACUAGAUGAUCCGGAUUCGAAUCCCGGUCUGGACU